rnacentral:rRNA from 1 species
UGAGGAAUAUUGGUCAAUGGGCGCAAGCCUGAACCAGCCAUGCCGCGUGAAGGAUGAAGGCGCUAUGCGUUGUAAACUUCUUUUGUAUGGGGCGAAACUAUUCUACGUGUAGAAUACUGACAGUACCAUGCGAAUAAGCAUCGGCUAACUCCGUGCCAGCAGCCGCGGUAAUACGGAGGAUGCAAGCGUUAUCCGGAUUUAUUGGGUUUAAAGGGUGCGUAGGCGGAAUGAUAAGUCAGAGGUGAAAUAUUGCAGCUUAACUGUAAAACUGCCUUUGAUACUGUCGUUCUUGAGUCCAGUUGAGGUGGGCGGAAUGUGUAAUGUAGCGGUGAAAUGCUUAGAUAUUACACAGAACACCGAUUGCGUAGGCAGCUCACUAAACUGUCACUGACGCUGAGGC